rnacentral:rRNA from 1 species
AGUUGGAUUUUAGUGGGUUAUUAAAGAUGAUUGGUCGGAUAGGAAACUAUUCUUGUACUAAUUAUCACUCACUUUUACUUACUGGUUACUCGACUCUGUACUUUAUUGGAUGGAGUAGUAUCGCAAGGUAUCAUUAAGAGUUAAAUUGCUUAUAAAUGUAGGUUUGGAGUAAAAUCUGGAUUGAAAUUUAUAAGAGCACAGUUUGAUUUUUAAUGGGGUUCCAGUUCAUUUACUUUGAGUAAAUUAGAGUGUUCAAAGCAGGCUUACGCUUGAAUACUUCAGCAUGGAAUAAUGGAAUAGGACUUUGGUCUUAUUUUGUUGGUUUCUAAGACCGAAGUAAUGAUUAAUAGGGACAGUUGGGGGCAUUAGUAUUUAAUUGUCAGAGGUGAAAUUCUUGGAUUUAUGAAAGACUAACUUCUGCGAAAGCAUUUGCCAAGGAUGUUUUCAUUAAUCAAGAACGAAAGUUAGGGGAUCGAAGACGAUCAGAUACCGUCGUAGUCUUAACCAUAAACUAUGCCGACUAGGGAUCGGUGGGCGUUAUUUAUUGACCUCAUCGG